CGUUUAUUUAAAUUUAAAAAAUCAUUUAAGUUCUUCCCAACUUUACUAAUUCAAAUGUUAGAUACUUGUAAAUAACGAUAAAGACUUAAGAUGUCUGAAUGAAUUUUGAUAUACCAUUACACGAUUUGAGCAAUUUCCUUUUUAUAAAAAAAUCAUAAGAUGAUGAUUGUUCACAAUACACACACACACAAAAAUAAUCAGAAGAAUUACUGGGUCUGAAUAAGCAAGAGAAUUCUAGGAAUAGAAAUGGAAACAGAUACAUAGCUAAAAUGUAAGAAUGGGGGUGUACUGUCAUUUAGGGGGAAUUUCUAUACUGGGACGGUUUUUCCUAGGGGGUUGGGUUGGACCCGGGUUAAUUCUUCGUAAGGGGAAAUUCUAUUCCAGGCCCAUCUUUCCGGGGGGAAUGUCUAUCCCGGGCCCGUUUUUCCGGAGGGAAAGUCUAUGCGGGGGAAAAUCUUAUGCUUUACAACACCGGGUAGAAUAGGUCCUCAGUACUCCUUGCCUGUCGUAAGAGACGACCCAAUGGGACAGUACUUCGGUAAUAUUCGAACCCAAGCUACGCCUAUGAAUGUGUUUUUCCCCUUUCGUUGUUAGUCUCACCCCCUCCCUUUGGAGGGAUGGUGGUGGUGGUGGUGGUGUCCAUUUGUACUAAUGAAGUAUCACCUAUAAGGUGUCAGUAUAUUCUGGUAGAUUAUUGCAAUAUACAUCAGUGGCGGAUUUUGAGGGGGCGCAGGUGGAGAAAUAAAUGACAAAAUCUUUUAUUUUUCUUAAUUACUUUAUUGGGAAAACUUAAUAUUUUCCCCAAAAAACCCUUAAAAUUUGGGUCAUUUUAUUAAUUUCACCUUAUUAAAAUGAUAGAAAAUACAUACAUGAUAUGUAGUACAAAUGACUAAAUAGGAGAAAUAUUUCAAGCCCCAUAAAAUUUGUAAAACCCAGGAGUUUCCGGGGAAUUCGCCCCCUGGGCCCCAACCAGGGCUUCGCCAUGGACCCACUGCCUCAUAAAGUGGCGCCCCGUAACCACAAUUCCUGGAUCCGCCCCUGUACAUGUAGAUAGUCUGUAUAAGUUGAUAGCUCAUCAAACGCACCUCCUGCGAUGUGAAAGUGAAAAUAGCUGCAAUCCUCGCCGGCGGAAUUAUGGUAAGGUUCAAUUUCAGCAACCAUUUGCGAUAAUGUGCUCCACGAAGAUUUCCUUAAAUAUUACAAUUAUUCUAAAUGAACCCUGUGCUUCCUAAUCCCCGUAAUGUAGUUCUUGUUCAUCGGUGGCGGAUCGAGAGGGUUGUAGUCACUCCACUUUACUUCCAUAGUUUUUAACAAAACUGGUCAUUUUACCAGUUUGCGAUAUUCGCCCAUCUUUGGGGCCGGGACGGAAUAGGCACAAACUUGGGUCGCAAUCCGCUCAUCGUUUAAACAAUUCCUGGAUGCGCCCUUGCCCACAGGCACCUUAAAUAUGGAUAUUACUACACCCCCCCCCCCCACCUUUUUUCAUAUUUUUUUGGUGGGAAUAAUUUCUCUGAAAUGUAUGAAUUCGUAGUCUAUUUUUCAUCCCUCUUUCGAUUCAUGUAAUCGUUUCACGCUUUUUUGUAAGCUUUAGAGAUUGGCCUUCUACCGGUAUAAUAAAAUUCAUUUUAUAAUAUACCAGUAGAAGGCCAAUCUCUAAAUACAUGUAUCCAUACUUCCGGUGCCUGUGCCCGUGGAGAACAGUACAUAAAGUGCACUUGUAAAUAGAUUACCAUUUUGUCUGUAAUGAUAUUUACGGGUGUAUUCAAUACCACCUCCUAAUAAAAACACGGGGGGGGGGGGGGGGGGGUAUCGUAUAGACUCUCAUUAUUAUCAUUACAGACAAAAUUACCGUUUCCUGGGAUUAGACAAAUAUUGAUUUAUGUUCACAAAAUAAAAAUUAAAUCAAAAUCGGAACCAGGAAAGCUUAAUUGAUUCCCAACUACAUGGAAAUGGACAUAAGAUUUUAAUAGUGAUAUUGUUUAGCUACAGUUCAUAAUGCAUAAGAUAUAAUUGCAAAAGUCUAUCUGUUAGUUGGAUAAUAUCUUGUAUACAAUAUAAGAAUUUCAUAAGUUAACAUCAGGGACCUAUAUACUAACUAGUAUAUAGGUCCCUGUUAACAUCAACACUGUUCCAAGUAUCUGAUUUAAAUCAUUACUUCUUUUUACUGGCUAACAAUUUAUAUUUCUAUUAAUUUGUCUUGAAAAUGAAAAAUCCAUCGUACCAUUGGACCUGUUCAUAAAAUGAAAUUGAUCCAACUUCGCCCCAAAAUCACAGAUUAAACAGUGGCGGAUCUAGACCUCACUGUGUGUGUGUGUGGAGGGGGGGGGGGGGCUUUUUUGGUCAAGCAAAGGAGAUAUGGUUUUGGUAUUAAAUGUUAAUGAAAAUUGAAACAUCCAUACUUCUUCAUUAUACUAGUCCGAAUAUUUAGAAAUAAUUGUCAAAGUGCACAAAUGAUCUUACAAAGAUUAGGCCUAAAAGCAAAAUAUGCUUGACCUGGACCAUUUAAAUUGGCUUUAAAAGUGUUUCAGGUGUUUUCCCCCAAAAAGUCACUAAUAUGAUUUUUAAAAGAUUUGAGAUGACCUUAUAGAAAUUAGCAAAUUUUGCACUAAUCAAAAUUUAUAAUCCAUAGUUUUGAAAUGUUUGAGUGGAGUAUGAAUGGUUGGUAUGAGUGAUUAUAUAUCAAUUGUACAUCUUAACUUUAAAAGUAUAUAUUAUGAUGCACUUAAUUUCUACUUGUACAAAUAAAUAAAAAAAAAUUAAGCCUAAAAAAAAAUAAUAAUAAUUUAAAAACAUUAUUAUAAUCCGAGGAUUAAUGUGCAUUAAAUUAUACUUUGUUGUACAAUAUGAAAAAGGUACAAAUUAAACAAAUAUUAGAAAGAGAUUACAUAUAGUAUAAGUUAACCACAUUCACUAGCUGCAAAAUUGUAGCUCUCUGAGAAAAUAUUGGAACAGAUCUGUACCAAUUAAUAUUUUCUCAGAGAGCUACAGUUCUGCAGCUGUGCAUUCACAUGAUUAUGAAUUUCACAAUAUUUCAUAUGAAUUUAAACGUAAAAAUUAAAAUGUAUCCUUUGCCUUUGUAUUGGGUGAUGUAUAUUGCAACAUAAUUUUCAAUGUUCAUGCUGAGAAUUGCUUUGCCAUUAUUUUCCAAAUAUCACCAUAUAAGCCUACAAUAUUACAUAUUAUGUAUCAAAUGAAUUAUUUAUAAUAUUGACUGAAAUAGCAUGAUAUGUUGAUCAUGAUAUGAAAUGCUUAUAAAAGUAUUAGAUGGCAAAUUACAUCUUCACAAAGUCAUUCACCCAGUAAUUGUAGAUAAGGAACAAUGAGAAACAAAGCCAGGGGCUUGCUGAGCUGUAAAGAACAUCCCAUGUGUAUUAUACACAAAGGGAUUAGUUGGGGUAAAACCUGGGUACAGAUAUAAAAAAAAUGGACAAAAUGACCAUGCAAGGACAAAGUCAAUAUUAGAAGUUUAUUAAAGCAUAAUAACAAAAUGUCACAGGACAUAAUACUGAUUUUUAUAUAAAUUCAGGGGGGAAAUCUGUUCCUUUUGUAAAGUUUACAAAAAUGCAUGUGUAAAAUAUAUGUUAUAUUUUUUAUGAGAUUGUUUUUCAAUUUUAAACUAUAGAUUUUGAUAAUUAUUAUUAAAUGCUUAUUCCUUUUAUCAUAUCUAUUGCAAACUAUGAAUUAAAAUAGGAUUUUCUUUUACUGAUAUAGAAUACUAAUAGACUUUGUAAUCAUUGGGUUUACAAAUUGCUACACAAGAUCUGACAUUUUUCACAUAACUUCUGCCUGCAUGCAUGUCAUUUGAUUCCAUAUCAACAUAUCAAUUAAUAAGCAAGAUUCAAAAUGUGAAAUUACUUUGAACAAAAAAAAAAAAAAAAAAAAAAAAACACAACAAAAAACUUGAUGACUGAUAAUCUAUAAUAUGCAUGAUAGUUCAAAUUUUCUUAUGAAUAUAUAUGUAUAUCAAAUGAUAUGUCAGAACAAUCAAUUUGCUAUUAUUGUACGUACAUGUAUAUGCUUUCAUAAUUUUGCUGUUGUGUGAUAAUGAAAUAUUGUCAAAUUAAAAAAAAAAAAAUGUGAAAUUACAAUUUAGUGUCCUUAGGUUUGUAAUUAAGAAUGAAGGAGUAAAUGAUAACCCAGUGGUGGAUCCAGAGGGGGUGCUGGUUCAGGAAAUGUUGCUAAAAUAAAGUAAAAAUAACACAUUUUGAGGGUGGACCCCCCUCCCUUGAUAACCCAAAUUAAUGCUAAAAUUCCCCUCUCUCAAAAAUUCCUGGAUCCAUCCCUGUAAGCAUUAGACAAUCAUUAAUUUGUCAUUCCAUUAUUCAUAAUUUCUUCAUUGGACACCUAGCUGGAGGCCAACUCUCACAUGUGUGUAUAUAGACAUAAUUCCAAUUAUUUUGAAAAUAAAGAGGUCAAAGUACCAAAUUGAAUUCAAUAUAAAAUAUAUAAAGAAUAUCUUAUCAUGGAUAUAAAGAUUAAAACAUUUCAAUCAUGUUAAUUAAUAGAUUUUUAGGUCAAUUGAUUCUCUUAUGUGACCUAUUGCUAGUGGUCAGCUUCUGUUAAAUGUGACAGUAAACAAAACAUCAAGCUUGUAAAUAUCAUGAUUCCUAGGGUAGAAAUUCUGACUCCAAGGGGAACCAAACUUGCCAAACUUGAUAUAUAGUGUUUAUAUGUAAAACAUUUAAAUUUAGAUAACAUCUUCCUUAAUGCUAUUGAUGCUUUUAGGUAAAGAAGGAACAGGUAAUUGUAAAUUUCAUGACCUCGAUCAGUGAUAAUAAUAAUAAAAUUUAUAUACAUGCAGCCUUAUAUAAAACAGUUUAUUACUCUAAGGUGCUUUACACAAUCUGAUUAAAAUAAGAUCUUUGAUCCGCUCCGUUAUUGUUAUGUCGUUACAAUAAGAUCUUUGAUCCGCUCCGUUAUUGUUAUGGAGCGGAUCAAAGAUCUUAUUUAUAACAAUAACGGAGCGGAUCAAAGAUCUUAUUUUAAUCAGAUUGUGCUUUACAAGGGCAAGAAGAGGAAUGCAACAAUAAAAUAGAAUUAAAUGACAUUAUGACAACUUAUACAUGUAUCUGUAAAUUAAAUUAUCAAAAUAAAACACUAUGAUUAAGAUCAAUAGCUAAAAGUUGGUUGGUUUUUUUGGUUUUUUUUUUGGUAUUUGAUAAUUAAAAACAUAGUUUAUAUAUACAUGUUAGAAUCUAAAGGUUUUGAUACUACCUUUAAAAUAGAUGGAACCAAAAUGGUCAUAGUAAUCACAUGUCUUUAUGAUUUAAAAGAAUCCUUCUUUAAUUUUGUUGACACUAGAAUAUUAUAAAUGAUGGAUGCAUUGUCAAGAAAAACAGAAAGAGAUGUACAAAAAUUGUGACGCUUGCAACUCCAGGGUUCUGAUUCAAGGUCAGAUCCAAAUAGUGUUAAAAGUGUAUAUCAAGUUUAUAAUUGUAAAAUGUUUCAUCAGUAUAGACGCUUUUGGGGGAAUGAAUUACACCUUAUAUUAUACUUCUACUGAAUAUUAGAAUUUAGCAUAUAAAUGCAUGCCUAGAGCAAGAAAAGUUACUGUAUUAUAUAGAUUUCAUUCAUAUUGAGGUUAGUAAUACUUUUAACUAAAUAACUCAGGUGACUGGUAAGGUCAGUGUCUUGUUGAUAUUUUUGAUGUGUGAAUGCAUGUACGUGUAUGUGUGCGUGUGUGUGUGAAAUACAAAAAAAUCCAUAAAGAUUUGUUUCAGAGUUUUGAGUAGUGAUCAGUUUUAGCAAUCAUCAACAGCUAGGGUAUGAAUCUGUACACUCAUCUUUGUUAAUUUCUAAAAAGACUUAAAUUGCAUUUCAAAAGUAGUCAAGUGUUAUGUGAAGGAGAUUUGAGGAACAUAUGUUCCUGCUAAAUGUGUGUGAUCAUAUGUUUGGGGUGUCAAUGGAUGGAAAAUCAUCUGAAGAUCGAAGUUUUGAAGAAAUUGAAAUACUUUUUUGAAUAUUAAUCAAUCUUAUUUUCAUUCUAAAAUCAUGUACUCAAAGGAAUUUUCUUUCAAUUACACAUGUAAGUGCAUUAAAUUGAAUUAUUUUUCUAUUUCUGACUUACAUUUAAAACAGUUAUGUUUGUCAUUUUGUUUCUCAAAGUAGAAAAUAUUUUCAUGUAGAUUUUUCUUCCAAGAUUAUUAUUCCUUAGAUUUCAAUUUAGAACAUUCAAGUAAAAGAAAAUAAGACUCUAAAAAAAGGAGGUCUCCAUGUGAAUUGAGAGAAAGAAAUGGAAAUUAUAAAUUCUGUGGUGACAUUAAAUUUCAUUUCAUAAUUUUGCCAGCUAUAAUAAGGUAUGAUAUGAGAUUCAGGGUGGUACAUUUAUGUGCAUACAUGUACCUUGUAUCUCCAGUUGAAAAUUGAUUGCUUUAAAUCAAUUUCAACAUUAUGAAUAUCCUACAAAAGUAAAACAUAAUGAUUUAAAGUUUAAAAAACACAUUGUUUCACUCCUGAAACCUUGACCUCACAUGGAUAUAUAUUGGUAUUUAGUGUUGGUAGGUUUUGGUUCUUUUUGGGUGGAUUUUGGAUAAUGUAGUGAAUUUCAGUUAGUUGUAGCACAGUAACAUGGAGUGAGCUUGCUUGCUUCCUGAUAUCUAGUCAAUCACUUUUUAAGACAUACAUAUUUUUCAAACUCGCAUUGCACAUAUUUGUUUGCAUUUUUGGUAGGAGAGUUUUAUAUGCUCACUAUAUAUGUCAUCUUCAUAUAUAGAUGUGUAAUUGUUUGCAAAAAGAGGAGACAUCUAGAUUUCUAAUAAAAAUGAUAAUUACAUUUAAAUCAUAAUUGUGCACUUCAUGUACUUUUUACAUGCAAAAUCAUUUCAUAUACUUAUAUGGUUUUUGUACUUUCUGUCCAUAUCUGUAAGUCUGUCUGUCACAAAGUCUUAAAUUGAGCAUUAAAAUGCUUCUCCUCCUGUAUGGAUUAUCUGAUAAACUUCAAACUUUGUACAAUGCUUCAUUGCCAUUUGCAGAUGUGCACAUUGUUGGGAGAGGAUUUAUUGUUAUCCUAAAAGUUAUAGUGGUUCGAUCCAAGAGGGAUGCGGGUGUAAAAUAGCUUGUGACCAUUUCUCCUAGUUGCAAACAUAUUGGAGAGUCUUGAAUUUUUUUUUUUUUUUUUUUUUUUUUUAUACAAUACUUCAUUAUCAUUUAAUGAUGUCUAGAUUUCUCUGACCCAGGAAUCUAAUAUUUUCCUAAAAUCUACAGUGGAUCAAAAACAAGUAUUUUAAGUGUUGUUUUUUUUUUAACCCUUUAUUGAAUAAUCUUUGUAAAAUUGCAUGUGCAAAAGUAAAGAUGCUUUGAAAAUUCAAUUACAAAAUUAAAAAUUUCACUGGUUUGUUAAGGUAUACUCACUACACUAAAGCUUUAUGACACUAUGUUACAAGGUGGCGAUUUAAAUGUUUUGGGAAAGUAUUUGUAUCGAUCGAUUUAUUCGUCUAUAACACCAUAGCUAAAUGGUUAAUUAAUAAAGCAUUGGGCGAGAGAGAGAGAGAGAGAGAGAGAGAGAGAGAGAGAGAGAGAGAGCAUUGGGCUGGUGAACUACAGAUCUUGAGCUCAAAUCCACUAGUCUUUUGUUCAUGUGUUGAAAUAAUAUUUUUGAAAAUCAUGUUUUUAUCCAAAUUUGCAUUUUUUGCUGUUUUUGGCAUACACACUUAUUGUAUAUCAUCAGAUCUUUUUUAAAAUAUUAAAUCAAUUUGUACUGAUUUGAGAAACUAUUUCCCGGUGUAGUGAGCCACCUUAAAUGUAAACAUAAAAAGACUCCAGUCUUUGUUUACAUGACACAGAAUGAAGGCUAAAAUAUUACUUUUAUUCCUGCAUCCAGAAGGUUACAAUUUUGGCUGUAAACACAGAUUCAGUUAUAGUUUUCAUGUUUAACAUUAAAAAAAAAUGAAAACAAAAUUUAAAAAAACAAAACAAAAACGUAAACGUCCUGCUUGAGAAUUUUUCACUUGUAUGGAGACGUCACCAUUGCCAGUGAAGGGCUGCAACAUUUAGGUCUAUGCUCGGUGCUUAUGCUCCUUUGAGCAGGGGUGGAUUAAUAUUGUGUCACACAUUUAGGUAAUGUCAUAUAACUGUAAACAAUGUCUCUAGAGGAUUUGGCUGUUGCUCAACCGGAAAUUUAAUAAAUUAAUGCAUAAGAUUGGGUCAUACUUCUUUUUGGACUAGAACAUCCAGGACUGAACUUUCUUAGGGUCGAGAUGUCUGUUAACCGUUUAUUCGUAUUUACCUGUCAAAGUCUUUUUGACGCUUAAGGUAUAGGAGAAAGUACUUUGGCUUCAGAAUGAAUGUGAUUGUCAGAGGGAGAAUGAUGGACCGAAGCAUGCAUUUUGUAAAAUGAUUCUUGUGUUGUUAAAUCUUCGAGAAUCUUGUUGGAGAUGUCUGAUUCGGUUCACGAAACAACUUAGCAUCAUCUAGCAGUAGCAGAUUUCACCAUCGUAUACAUAGAGAUUUAUUACCAAUAUAUCAAUCGAAUCUAUAGGGAAAGGAUUCAGUCCAUUGUUGAAUCCAAUUAAGUAAAUAUGCCAGAGUAAACCAAUAGAAAAUACCAAUUCAUCUUAUAAUUUACCACUACAACCCCGUUACACUUGCAUGAGGAAAGAGAACUGACAGUAAAACAGACAAUGGUUGUAUAUAUUGUGUAACCACCAGAGUUAACACAAAAAGUAAACAAAUGAUGAUAGUUCAGCGUGCCACGGGUGAUUUGGAUUUUCACGAUCUGUCCCACAGUUCCUUCUUCGCAGGGAAUGUCAACUAUUUCACGUGUUUUACCGGGUCCCUUGUAGAAUCCACAAACCAUGAACUCUCCACCAACAGAUUUAUCUGUAAAUAUGGUUUUGCCUCCUGCGAUGUCGCGAAACACUCAGGUCCUUCACCAUAUACGCCGUGGUCAAGAAUACCAUCUACGGCGAAGUUUGGACCAUAGGGAUAUUGAACGUCAAAUACAGAGGAAGAGCUAGCUGAUUUACCCAGGGCAACAUUUCCGUUUGAAUACAGCUCUGAAAGGAAAACAAGCAUUUCUGGUGAUAUGUGUUAACGAGGUUACAUCCUCUUACUAACACACAGAUAUCCUUUCCCUAUCAAAAGUUGUAAAUAAACAGACAUAUCUUAAACUACAUUAAUAUUACACAUUUUCAAGAUUAGUUUUUUUUGUUGGUGUUUAUGGAAUCUUACAUAUUUGUUUUAAGACAAGACAAAGCACGGACAUUUACAUAUUACCAUACAUGUAACUGGGGAAUCGGUAAUUUGUAGUUAUAUAACGUACAAGGAGGUACAAAAAGUUAACGGACACAGUCUGGUUCUGUUACAUUCUCUUACACGUGAUUAAUUUUCAUAGGAUAACAACAUUCAUAGUCAACGAGUUUAGUAUUUGAAGGUGGUGAUAUAUUUUCAGCGUUAAAAGGUGAAAAAACCCAAUGCAAUAUCAAUUUACCUUUGGAUGCAUUACUCAACAUGGAUGUUAACGGAAAAUUAACAACUCAACUUUGUAACAAAUUCGAUGGCUUCAGCUUCUCAAUUGUCACCCUCCCAUAUCUAUAUAGCAACAUUAUAAUGUUGCCCAAUGAUUACCCCUCCCUAUUGUAUUUUAUGUCUCACAAAUGAAUCGAUAUACAAUGGGAUUAUUUUGUUGUUGUCAAUUUUCAAAGCAAGAAAGGCUAUUGGCAAAUAAACCAAUAUUACAGAAAUUUCAACAGCGUCAAUUUAAAUUGCUCAUUCUAUAGUUUUAGACCUAAAUAUCGAACUUCCAGAUAUGGAAACAGGCGCUUGGAUGUGGCAGCAGCUAUACUUUUGAACUCUCUGCCUGAUACCCUUCCCAUUGUCAGAAUGUGAACACUUAAAAAACAUUUAAAAACACAUCUUUUUAGACUUGCAUAUUAUUAGUAUCAUAGGUGAGUAAA